CGGCAUCGCCCUGUCGCAGGGGGAUGACGAUGGGGCGCGAUUGCAUGCGCGGGCGCUGCUCGGUGAGCACGAGUUCGCCGCCCGCGAAGUCGCGCUUCGGGUCCGACAGCAGGACGACGAGCUGCAGCGGGAAGACGUCGGGCGCGGGUUCGUGCUGCGUCAGCGGCCGCGCGUGGCCGGCCUCGACGACGUCCAGGCGUAUGUCGGGCGGAACGCCGGCCGGCGCCGAGGCCGGAUAGCGCCAGCCGGUCUGCAGGGUUUGCGCCCAGGCGUUGGCCAGCGGCGCGAGCUGCGCAUAAAGCGCGGCGCGCAGCGGCGCGAAGACGCCGGCCGCGACGCCCGGGCCUUGCGGCGGCAGGCAGGCAAGCAGCGCGGCGAUGGCCGGCGCGUCGAACAGCGCGGGCAGCAGGGCCCAGCCGUCGCGGUCCAGCCGCGCGUGCAGGGCGGCGCGGUCCAGGGCGGCGAUGGCCGCGGCGCCGGCUUGCAGGAUGCCGGGCGUCAGGGCGGGCGUCAUGGGGUGGCCGCUUCGCGGCGCAGCAGUUCGCGCUUGCGGUCCACGCCCCAGCGGUAGCCGGACAGGUCGCCGUCGCGCCGCACCACGCGGUGGCACGGGAUGGCCACCGCGAUCCGGUUGGCUGCGCAGGCCUGCGCCACGGCGCGCACGGCCCUGGGCGCGCCGAUGCGCUCGGCGAUGUCGGUGUAGCUGACGGUGGCGCCCGGCGGCACUUCGCGCAACGCCUGCCAGACGCGCUCCUGGAAGGCGGUGCCGCGGACGUCCAGCGGCAGGUUCAGGCCCAGGGCGGGCGCUUCGACAAAGCCCACCACCUCAGCCACCAGGCGCUCGAAGCCGGCGUCGCCGCCGAUCAGCGUGGCGCGCGGGAACAGGUCCUGCAACUGGCGCACCAGGUAGUCGGGGUCGUCGUCGAGCAGGAUGGCGCAGAUGCCGAGCUGGCUUUGCGCCACCAGGAUGGCGCCCAGCGCGCACUGGGCGACGGCGAAGCGGAUGCGGGCGUUGGCGCCGCCGGCGCGGUAGGCGCGCGGCGCCAUGCCCAGCAGCUGCUGCGAGGCCUCGUAGAAGCGGCUGUUGGAAUUGAAGCCGGCGUCGUAGAUGGCCGCCGUGACGCUGGCCGACUCGCCCAGCUCGGCGCGCAGGCGGCGCGCCCGCUGGGCGCUGGCAUAGGCCUUGGGCGUGAGGCCGGUUUCGGCCUUGAACAGGCGGUGCAGGUGGAACGGGCUCAGGCCCACGUGGGCGGCCAGCGCCUCCAGCGUGGGCGGGGUGUCGGCUUGCUCGAUAUGGCGGCAGGCGGCGGCCACCAGCGCACUGUGCUGGCGCGCGGUGACGGUGCGGUCGGCCGCGUUGUGGCGGCUGGGCCGGUAGCCGGCGGCGCGCGCCGCCUCCGCGUUGUCGAAGAACUCCACGUUCUCGCGGCGCGGCAGGCGCGCCGCGCUGCUGGGCCGGCCGUACACGCCGGUGGUGCGCACGGCAUAGACGAAGUGGCUGUCGGCCGCCGGGUCGCGCGCCUGGACGGCGGCCCAGCGCGCUUCGGGCGUGGCGUAGGCUGGAGCGGGGCGGACGGGGAGGUUCAUGGCGGGGUCCGGGCAGUGGCGUAUGGCUGCAAUGUAGGGCGCGAUUGCGCCGCAAGCACUACGUUUCUUGCGCGCGAAUCCGCGCCUCGGGCGGCACGCGCCACAGAUACCAGGCCGCCAGCGUGCGGUACGGCCCCCAGGCCUGGCCGAUGUCGCGCAUCUGGCGCGCGGUGGGCGUGGCGGCGGCGCCCUUGAGGCGCCGGUAGCCGUCGCGCACGCCGAAGUCGUCGGCCGGCAGGAUGUCGGCGCGCGCCAGCGUGUAGAUCAGCAGCAUUUCCACGGUCCAGCGGCCCACGCCGCGCAGCGUGGUCAGGCGCUCGACCAGCGCCUGGUCGCUCAUGCGCCGCGCGGCGCGCCGGUCCGGCACCACGCCGUCGCGCGCGGCCUGGGCGAUGCCCAGGAUGGUCUGGGUCUUGGCCGCCGAAAAGCCGCAGGCGCGCAAGGCGGCCGGGUCGGCGGCCAGCAAUUGGCCGGGAGCGGGAAAGGCGCCGCCGGGAAACAGCGCCAGCAGGCGUCCCACGAUGGCGUCGCCGGCGCGCGCGUGCAACUGCUGGUAGGCGAUGGCGCGCACCAGCGCUUCAUAGGGUUCGCGCGCCGGCAAGGGGCGGUGCAGGCAGGGGCCGGUGGCGGCGACGUGCCCGCGCCAGUCGGCGUCCAGGCCGGCGAGAAAGCGCUCGGCGUGGGCGUAGGCGGCAGGGCUGAGGGUGGCGGCGGUCAUGGUCGGCGUGGGCGCGGCAGUGGGGCCAUGACACUAGGAUAGCGCGCGCCGGCGCGCACCCGGUUUCUUGCCCGGGCUUGCGCCGGUCCCCGGCCGGCGCGCUACUCGCGCGCCUUGCCGGCCUGCUCGGCGACGUCCGGGCAGGGCGGUGCGUUCCGGGCGGCCUCGGCGAUCUGCUCGGGCGUGAGGUCCUGCUUGUGCGUGGCGAUGGACCACAGGUGGCCGAACGGGUCGCGCACCUGGCCAUAGCGGUCGCCCCAGAACAUGUCGGUGACCGGCAUCACGGACGUGGCGCCGGCCGCCACCGCCUGCGCGUGGGCGGCGUCCACGUCUUCGACGUACAGGUGCAGCACGACCGGCGUGCCGUUCAGCGCCUUGGGAUCGGGGGUGUCCCACUCGGGGAAGGCGUCCAUCAGCAUCAGGGUCGAAUCGCCGAUGCGCACGGCGCCGUGCAUCAGCCGGCCGUCGGGGCCGGCCAGGCGCGCCAUUUCGACCGCGCCGAAUGCCUUGAUGUAGAAAUCGAUGGCGCGCGCGGCGCCGGCGCAGAUGAUGUGCGGCGUGAGGGUGUGCAUGCCCUCGGGGAUGGGUUUGACAGCGGUGGCCAUGGGGUGUCUCCGGCAGGAAGGGGAGGCGCCGGCGGCGCCGGCCUGGAGCAGGCGCGGCGGGGC
rnacentral:rRNA from 1 species